GGUCAGCUGACACAUCCCUGACAAUCUCCGGCAGACCCUCCCUCCCAGACCCUCCUACUUCCUGGACAGCAUCCAUGUUGAAGCUGCCUUCAACAUGGAUGCUGUCCAGGACGUGGGAGGGUCUGGGAGGGAGGGUCUGCCGGAGAUUGGCAGGGAUGUGUCAACUG